rnacentral:rRNA from 1 species
AUGUAUCUGAUUAUAUAUUAUUUUAGAUUGUUUGCAGUUUUUUCAUCAUUUACCCACUCACCUUUAUUUAGCAAUGUGCCCUGUGGUUUACAGCAGAAUUUUUUAGUUACGCUGCUGCCCAUGUGGCCACCACUUCCACAGUUAGCUUUCCUAGCAAAAUGCUCUACAGUAUGGUAUUAUUUGGUAAUUCAGUGUAAGCAGGUGAAAGCAUGCGCAAACUACGUGGCUUCUUUGUGCUUGGGACAUAGCAUAAUACAUGGAAUAAAACUGUUAUUACUUCCUAAGAAGCACCGAUACGGCCAGAACUGCCAAUUUGCCGUCCUGAUACGGGGUGACACGGGGAUACGCCCGGAUACGGCUGGAUACGCGUAUCCCGCAGUAUCCCAUCUUUUCCGAAUUAAAAAAAAAAGUAAAAAAAUCGGGAUACGGCCUAGAUAUGGCGUGGACACGGUGGGGACUCGGCAGCCAGCCUCCAGUGACCAUGCUGCUGCCCAGUUCUCCUCCCGAUAG